UACGUAGGGACCAAGCGUUGUUCGGAUUUACUGGGCGUAAAGAGCGCGCAGGCGGUCGUUCAAGUCGCGUGUGAAAGCCCCGGCUCAACUGGGAGGGUCACGCGAUACUGAUCGACUCGAAGGCAGGAGAGGGAAGUGGAAUUCCCGGUGUAGUGGUGAAAUGCGUAGAUAUCGGGAGGAACACCAGUGGCGAAGGCGGUUGCUGGCUGACACUGACGCUGAUGCGCGAAAGCUAGGGAGCGAACAGG
rnacentral:rRNA from 1 species